ACGCGGGCUGGGGUUGGUGAAUCGGCGGCAGGGGCGCGUUUCGCAGGCUGGGCGCCCGCCGGAGCAAUAGGAUCCAUGUCUGCAGUUUGGCUACAGGUUGGACAAUGCGGCAACCAGAUUGGACAGGAAUGGUGGCAAGUUGUUACCAGUGCCAGAAACAGAGAAGCCAACAUGUACCCAUUCUGCUCCCUCGAUGGCAAGCUGAGCGCCGUCUGUGUCGACAGCGAGCCGAAGGUGGUGAAGCGGCUCCAGAAGCGAGUCAAGAGCGGAUCGUUCAGAGAGUCCAAUCUCAUUGUGGGGAAGCAAGGAAGAGGCAACAACUGGGCCUACGGGUAUCACGGCGUCCGUUCAGAGCAGGAGCGGAGCUUGUUCCACAGAACUAUGGAGAGCCUGAGGAAGGAGGUGGAGUGCAAGGACUGCUAUAGUGGGACAGUCCUAUUCCACAGCCUCAGUGGAGGGACAGGAGCUGGCCUCAGUUCCCGGUUGUGCGAAGCCAUCCGGGACGAGUACCCCCUGGGCUACAUCCUGGCUGCCUCGGUAGCUCCUCACCAAGCCGGCGAGAGUCCUCUUCAGCACUACAAUUCUUUGCUGUGCCUUUCGUGGCUCCAGAGGUACACAGAUGGCAUCCUCCUGUUCCACAACGACGAGGUGCUAAAGCGCACAGCCUUCCUUCAGGGGAAGGAUGCCCCUGAAGGUGGACAGCAGGUCUCCCUCUCCGCCAUGAACACUUACAUCGCUUCCUGCCUUGCUGGGCUUCUCUAUCCACUCAAGAUUUUCACAGCACAAAGAGGGAUUAGCAUGGGCACUGAACCCUGGGCGCUCCUGAGAUCCAUCUGUCCUCUGCCAGCUCUCAAAUUCCUUCACACGGCUCAAGCCAACACAAGGGGGGGAACGGUGUUUUGGGACAGCCUGGCGUCUUCUGUGGCCCAUUCAGUUCCUCGUGAGUCUCUCGCUGGGCACCCGCACUGCAGCUCAGCGCUGCUCGCCGUGGCCCGCGGCCUCCAGGAGGACUCCUUUCUCAUCAGCCGCGCGUCAGUGCUAAAGAAGCUGAAGCAGGCCUACCACUGUGCGCCCUGGAAUCCUUUCUCCGCCUCUUGCUGGACAGAUCCAGUUAGCCUUGGGGCUCCUGGCCACAACAGCCACGCCCUGACUGUCUGCGCCAACCACAGCAGCGCCGCUGACCUCCUGCGGAGGGUGGAGCAGCGGGCACGGCUGAUGUAUAAGAGUAACGCCUUCCUACACUGGUACUGGAGACACGGCUGUGAAGAAGCGGACUUUGAGCAGGGCUUUGAGACGCUCCUCUCUGUCGCGGAGGAUUACAGCCGCCUUGGGGACUGACCCGGACACUCUGGAACUAGCAGCAGCCAGGAGGGACUUUGCCAGGAAAUACUGUUCCGUGCAUGCAUGCAGGCCAGCAAGGAAAAGAAGUGAUGCUUAAUGUGACCAAGGGACAGAAAUGAUUGCCUGCCUUUGAUGUGCUGCGUAUUUGGACCGCUUUCAGUUUUGUUGUGUAUAAGCCAACCAGCGACACCUUCCUGCCUCUGGCCAAGUGAAUGUUUUGCUCUGCCUCAGCUUCUCUUCAGGAGCAUGCACAUGAUGACAUCACCCACGUUUGGCAUGGUUUGUAUGCCAUGUGGACAGGAAGCUCUUUCUGUAGGUCCAACUCGUAUUAGCACUUUUUUUCUUACUAUGGCCCCUGUGGCCUCCAUUUCUUCGCUACCAUUGGAGAACUUGGGGCUUUAAAAAAAAUUAGUAAUUGACAAAUCACUAUAGCAUUAUGAUCUGUUGCUGUGAUCUACUAGUUCCAGCUUUCUUUCUUUUUUAGGUCUUUACCCCUGUUCAUUGCAGAGUUAUAAGUGAAACUGUGUAAGCUGCACAUUUCCUCUAACUCCUUGCAAAAAGGGCAUCGAUCUUCUUUCUUAAAUGAAAGGAGCUAAUAAAUUGUUGCAUUCAAUCAUCAUAAUGUUAUAACACUACAGCAAUUUAGCAAUUCCAAGUGGAGGGGAAAGGAAAUGGACAAGGGGAGGUGGACUGUGGCAAGGAAAAUGUAAGGAGAACUGCUGUGAAAAUGCUUCUCUGCCUUCGCAGUAUCAACAGAAGCGACAAAGAACUGUCUGCAUCCAGGCAGAAAUCUCAGGAACACUCGAGAAACAAGCCAGACUGAACCCUAAAAACGGACUCUGAGCGAUAGUCCAAAUGCUCAUUUUGAGAAGUCUGUGAAAUGCCAAGUUGUGCACAUCUUUAAUGAACAUAUAUAUAAAACAGACAUCAAAAUAUAUCAUAUGUAUGUCAGGCCACCUCGCUCAGCCUGGUCUCCUCUGCCUGGUAGGGGCUCUCCAAAGUCUUGCUCCACGAAGGGUCUUCCUACCUUCUACCUGAGACCCUUAACUGGAGACGGUGCAACUGCUCUACCGCAGCCCCUAGUGGAGCCCAAACACCAGAUUGGGCCCAACGAAAGACGUCCUUUUGCCAAAGCUGACAGCAUUAGUUCUAAGGGGACCGUCAGUUCCUGCCCCUCCUCAGCCACCAGAGAGAGGUUUUACGCUACCUUGCGGUCAGUCUUUGCUUUAGCGUUGUAGAAGGAGACAGAAUCCGGGCAGAACGGCAGCACUUCCUCCUGCAUCCGGUCAAACCUCUCCUGCUCAUCUUCAUCCUGGGAGGAAGGGACAAGUGGAAUGCAAGGGGCUCCGUGAGGCACUGACGGGCCUGCAGACAGACACUGCAGACAGACAGUGCCUCCAGCAAUUCAGAGCUGCAGGGUAGUGGUGUGUGAACAUCAGUAGGAGGUGUACGUGCAAGUUUUCCAGUGCCAGGGUCUUCGAAAUUCCCAGGCUCAGCAUGCAGCCCCAAACAGGCAGUGAGUUAACAGAGCAGGUGGAUGAAGUGCUGGCAUAAUUCCACUCAGGAACACACCUCCCCCCCCCCAAUCUCAAAAUCUGGGAUGAGAUGAGAGCAAUAGUUGCUAUUUAUUUGCAUCCAGGCAAUGAUCAGAGACGUUCAUUAUAAAUGAAGUCCUCAGAGCAACCUUGUGACGUAGGUGAGAAUAUUGGACUACAAUCUGGGAGACCCAGGUUCGAAUCCUCACUCCGCCAAGAAAGGUUACUGGGUGACCUUGGGACAGGCAUAUACUCUCAGCCUAAUCUACCUCACAGGAUUGUUGUGAGAAUAAAAUAGAGGAGAAUGAUUUAAGCCACUUUGGAUCUGUAUUGGGAAGAAAGGCGGGGUAUAAAUGACAUAAAUAAAUAAGGACUAUCCCCCCGUGGCAGACAGAGGAGGCUGAGGGAACAGGUGUCUUCCGGAGUUCGGGUCUGAGGACAUCCCGAGUCCUCAAGCAGACUCACAGGGCUCAAACAGAUGAGAUGAAGCUGCAGAUCAUGGAUCUUGUUCCAUCUCUCCAAAAGGCAAAUGGCAGACUUCUGCAGCCUCCGUUGGCAUUGAGGCCUUGCUAACCCUCAACCUUCCAUUCACUUUGGCAAUCUGAAACCAGCCCCCCGCUCUGCUAUUGGUAUUUAACAAGAGAAAACGUGUUCUUUGAAAAUAUGUCCUUUAAAAACCUGUCCUUUCCCCCCCUUUAAAAAGCUAAUAGAAAGCAGGCAGCCCAGUUUUGAUCAGAGAAAAUGAGCAGCAAUUAAAGACUUAGCAGCUCCCUGCUUCCCUGCAGAGCCCCAAGGGAAACCGAGGCUACCUAACGCUGCAGGUUGCAUUUUAUGGGCCAAUCCAGAGACACGGUUAUCUGGUCUGAUUCGUCCAAGCCCCUUUGCCACUUGUGUGAACCACAACAGAGAGUAACGCGGUAAUGAGUAUGAAAAAACAAAACAAAAACUACCCGUGUGGUGAUGUGAUACUGAACGGAUGUGGUAUUAAGUACUUAUAAGAAAUAUUUAUGAAGGAAUCAUUGUCUGUGUACUCUUUGAGAAAGAUGAUAUGAAACGGGAUUAACCAGGAUCUAGACAACCCGUCGGAGGAUCUUUUACUAUCAUAUUGGAAUAAUCACAGUCAUCUGGAGUGGUUUGCAACCUAGGACCUUAUAGAAAUUGGAUUCUUCCUCACGAAUUGGACACGUAGUGCUCGGGACCUUAUACAUUUGUUUGAAGGACUUGUGUUCAUGUGGUGCUGUAUAUGCAUUUGCACUUUAAAACAUUUAUGUGCAAUGAAAAAUUACA